rnacentral:rRNA from 1 species
AGAGUUUGAUCCUGGCUCAGAACGAACGCUGGCGGCGUGCUUAACACAUGCAAGUCGAACGUGAUCCGGAGCUUGCUCCGGUGAAAGUGGCGCACGGGUGAGUAACGCGUGGAUAACCUGCCCUGGUAUCUGGGAUAACAUCUCGAAAGGGGUGCUAAUACCGGAUAAGCCCACGGGAUCUUCGGAUUCUGCGGGAAAAGGUGGCCUCUAUUUAUAAGCUACCGUAUCAUGAUGGGUCCGCGUACCAUUAGCUAGUUGGUGGGGUAAUGGCCUACCAAGGCGACGAUGGUUAGCUGGUCUGAGAGGAUGAUCAGCCACACUGGAACUGAGACACGGUCCAGACUCCUACGGGAGGCAGCAGUGGGGAAUUUUGCGCAAUGGGGGAAACCCUGACGCAGCAACGCCGCGUGAGUGAUGAAGGCUUUCGGGUCGUAAAGCUCUGUCGGAGGGGAAGAAAAGGAAACGGUUAAUACCCGUUUCCCUUGACGGUACCCUCAAAGGAAGCACCGGCUAACUCCGUGCCAGCAGCCGCGGUAA